CUAAUACAUGCAAGUCGAGCGCGGGAAGCAGAAGGAUUCCUUCGGGAUGACAUCUGUGGAACGAGCGGCGGAUGGGUGAGUAACACGUGGGCAACCUGCCUGUAAGACUGGGAUAACUCCGGGAAACCGGGGCUAAUACCGGAUGGUUCCUUCCUCCGCAUGGAGGAAGGCGGAAAGACGGUUUCGGCUGUCACUUGCAGAUGGGCCCGCGGCGCAUUAGCUAGUUGGUGGGGUAAUGGCCCACCAAGGCGACGAUGCGUAGCCGACCUGAGAGGGUGAUCGGCCACACUGGGACUGAGACACGGCCCAGACUCCUACGGGAGGCAGCAGUAGGGAAUCUUCCGCAAUGGACGAAAGUCUGACGGAGCAACGCCGCGUGAGCGAAGAAGGCCUUCGGGUCGUAAAGCUCUGUUGUAAGGGAAGAACAAGUGCCGGUUAACUGCCGGUGCCCUGACGGUACCUUACCAGAAAGCCACGGCUAACUACGUGCCAGCAGCCGCGGUAAUACGUAGGUGGCAAGCGUUGUCCGGAAUCAUUGGGCGUAAAGCGCGCGCAGGCGGUUUCUUAAGUCUGAUGUGAAAGCCCACGGCUCAACCGUGGAGGGUCAUUGGAAACUGGGGAACUUGAGUGCAGAAGAGGAAAGCGGAAUUCCACGUGUAGCGGUGAAAUGCGUAGAGAUGUGGAGGAACACCAGUGGCGAAGGCGG
rnacentral:rRNA from 1 species